UGAAUCACUUGGUUCAAGCUCUUGCCUGAUU
rnacentral:piRNA from 1 species